rnacentral:SRP_RNA from 1 species
CCGUGCUAUGCGGGGAGUUAGCGAUGCCCUGUAUCCGCAAUUCGCUUUAGCGGAGCAGAAUAUCUUUUUAGGCUUGUCGCGUGGAGGGCUGCGCUUUAUAAGGGGCGUUGAUAUCAAGGUCUUAUGCAAUGCGCUGUCGCAAAACGUGUCAGGGUAGGAAUACAGCAGCACUAAACGAAUUUGACGCAUGUGCCAUAAGGUUGCUUUGAAGGAGUUACCUGUAAAGUUACCGCUUCGGCGCGAUUUGUCG